AUUGAACGCUGGCGGCAUGCUUUACACAUGCAAGUCGAACGGUAACAGGCCUUCGGGUGCUGACGAGUGGCGAACGGGUGAGUAAUGCAUCGGAACGUGCCCAGAGGUGGGGGAUAACGCAGCGAAAGCUGUGCUAAUACCGCAUGUGAUCUGAGGAUGAAAGCGGGGGACCAGGCAGCAAUGUUUGGCCUCGCGCCUUUGGAGCGGCCGAUGUCAGAUUAGGUAGUUGGUGGGGUAAAGGCCUACCAAGCCGACGAUCUGUAGCUGGUCUGAGAGGACGACCAGCCACACUGGGACUGAGACACGGCCCAGACUCCUACGGGAGGCAGCAGUGGGGAAUUUUGGACGAUGGGCGCAAGCCUGAUCCAGCAAUGCCGCGUGCGGGAAGAAGGCCUUCGGGUUGUAAACCGCUUUUGUACGGAACGAAAAGGCUCUGGCUAAUACCUGGGGCUGAUGACGGUACCGUAAGAAUAAGCACCGGCUAACUACGUG
rnacentral:rRNA from 1 species